AGGAGGGAGCCUGUGCAGAUCAUCACCUGUCUUCACAUAAACUCCACUUUGUUCUGCAAGACUGUGCCCUGGAAGUCUGACUUGUGUGGAUUUCCAUUUCCCUCUGGCUUCCCGCUGAGUUCAACCCAAGGUAAGCGCCCAGUGGAGAUCAGUGGGAAGGAGGAAAAUGAGGUGGAAUAUUUAUUCUCUUUUCUUUCUUCAGGCUGGUUUGCUAAUGGCUGUGGAAUAAAGGCCAUAGCUCCUUUUGGUUGGCCUGUGUCACACAGCUCUCCCUCUCCCCUGGGGAUUUUAGCAACUGGUCGCUUACCUUGCUCCUACCAGCCUAGAUGUAGCCAUGGCUUCCGCUAUUCCCAUUGUAGGGAUGUUUUCCUUUGUUGCUCUUCAUAAGCUCUGCCCAUACGUUUUGUAAAUGGUCUCUUUAAUUAAACUCCCUUCAAUUACUCAGUUUCAGUAUGCUAUAUUUUCCCUGCAAGAAUUCUGACAGACACAAUGCGCCUUUAACUGUACUUAUUUUUUUUAAAAUGUAGAUAAUAAUAUAUACAACAUAUUAACUAUCUCAGUGGCAUGCGAUUGUAUUUUAAUUUUAUUUUUGAUUACUCUUGAGGUGAAUAUCUUUUCAUGUAUUUAAUGGGCAAUUUUUUUGUUUUUUUCUGUUGGAGAUUGUUUGUGCAUCAUCUUUCUUUCCAGUUUUUAUUGAGUUGUUAAAUUGUUUCUCAUUAACAUUUUUCAGAGUUCUUUAAUAUUAAAGAUACUAAUGCUUUGUCUGUUAUAUUGACUCAAAUCUGUUUUUCAGUUUGCCAUUUAGCAUCAGUUGCUAAAGUGGUUUAUGGUAUUUUUGUAAUACCAAAGUUUUGGCUUACUUUUGGAGUCAAAUCUAUCAUCUUUUCCAGUAAUCUUUUCAAAAUCAGCAUUUUCAGUCACAGAAAUCUGUUAAUGCCAUGAAUGCUUUCGUCUCUAUGGAUAUUUCAUGGCUGUGACAAAGCAAAGUAUCUCAGGAAGUUUGGAAUACUUAUGCGGGUUUUAUUUCCUCUUCGUUUUUCUAUCUUGUGACAUGUUACUCUCCGUCAUUGACUUACCUAUUUACUGACCAUUACUGUCCAGUUAUUUUGGUCUUCUUUCCAUUGCAUUAUUGAAUGGUUCAGGUUUUCAUUGUUAGGAUAAAUCUUAUAGUGAAAUAAACAAAUCCUGAGUGCACA
rnacentral:lncRNA from 1 species